GAUUUGAGUCAGAGGACCUAGGUUUGAAAACUGGCUCUUGGGUCUCUCUUUUAGUAUGUGCCCUACCUGAUUGAAAGCUUUCUUAUUCUGUGGGAUGAUGAUAGGAGUCUCCUGGGCAUCACCAAACCUUCCAGGCUUUACAUGAGCAAUUUUUGGUUGACCUACAGUGUUCUGAAAGGUGAUAAUAACUGGCAAAUACUGACCAGAACUAGAAGCCACUUGUCAGCUUUUCCAAACUGAGGAAUUUUCAGAUGAGGAAACCGAGACCCAGAAGCCAAGUACUUUGUCUGAUUGUUUAUGGAAGAACUCAGAUGAAGAGACCCUCCAGGGUCAAGGAAGUGAGCAACAUACUUCAUCAUAGUUGGUCAUCACUGAUCAAAGAGCCAACAAGCAAUUCCACUGAGUCGUACAAAUAUUAUCACUAGAACCCGGGACUUCUGAUCCCAGAUCCAGUGUUCUAUCUACUUCGCCCCACCAAGGACACAUUCCACUGAAAGAAAAGGCGAAGCUAGAUAGUGUCCCCAUUUCAGGGACUGAGUCAGAGCGAGAAAUUAACUGGAGUGAACACCGAGUGUUUGAAAUGGCAACAGCCGCCGCCACUGCCGCCAAGAGGGAGACGCCAAGUUCCAGAUUGACGUGAAGGAGGGGACUGGGCUAUAAACUGUUUAGUCAUGGUUUCUUUAUACAAAGCGAGGGGGGGAUUAUAGAGCAAGUUGCCAAAACAAAAAAUAGAAGCCUACUUGAGAACAGCCAGUGGGAAGUUGUCGGGGGCUGAUGGGAGGGAGGAGGCAUCAAAGGCUCUGGCCACCGGCUGUCCUUCUAGGGUAAGCUGAGAUGCCAGCUUCUCCUCUGUCACACGGAGGCUCGGCCGUAACACAACUGAUUUCACACCCUGUAGGAAAGUGUUCAAAAAGAGGCUGGGUUGGUUUUGAAAUAUGAAGCCGUGCGACGGCUAAGCACACAUCAUCGCUUGGGUUUUGUAACAAUUAAAUUAGUGCUUAAAGCCCUCUCAGAGGGGAUUUUUUUCAAUCUUUAGGUGGCAUGGAUCUUUUAAGGGGUCUGGGCUAUUUCGUGGCUGUGUGUAAAUAUAUCACGCGCGGGAACUAACUGCUCAGGACCCGGAUUCCAGCUCCAGUGUGUGACAAGCAGGAAUAGAGUCCCAAGAACAUUCGGCACCAUUAGUUAAGUCAACAGGUUCUGCUCGAAAUGCUGAAGGUGAGCGAAACCUGCCAAGUGCUAAUGGAACUGCUGGAAAUAAAGGAAACUGGACACCAGAAGCGAGCUGCCUG
rnacentral:lncRNA from 1 species